rnacentral:rRNA from 1 species
UGGGGAAUAUUGCACAAUGGGCGCAAGCCUGAUGCAGCCAUGCCGCGUGUGUGAAGAAGGCCUUCGGGUUGUAAAGCACUUUCAGCGGGGAGGAAGGCGGUGAGGUUAAUAACCUCAUCGAUUGACGUUACCCGCAGAAGAAGCACCGGCUAACUCCGUGCCAGCAGCCGCGGUAAUACGGAGGGUGCAAGCGUUAAUCGGAAUUACUGGGCGUAAAGCGCACGCAGGCGGUCUGUCAAGUCGGAUGUGAAAUCCCCGGGCUCAACCUGGGAACUGCAUUGGAAACUGGCAGGCUAGAGUCUUGUAGAGGGGGGGAGAAUUCCAGGUGUAGCGGUGAAAUGCGUAGAGAUCUGGAGGAAUACCGGUGGCGAAGGCGGCCCCCUGGACAAAGACUGACGAUCAGGUGCGAAAGCGUGGGGAGCAAACAGG